UUGCCAGCCCGCUCAGAACCUUAAAGGAAUUGACGGGGCCCGCACAAGCGGUGGAGCACGUGGUUUAAUUCGAUGAUACGCGAGGAACCUUACCUGGGCUCAAAUGUAUGUUGACGUAUUCUGAAAGGGAUACUUCUUCGGACAAUAUACAAGGUGCUGCAUGGUUGUCGUCAGCUCGUGCCGUGAGGUGUCGGGUUAAGUCCCAUAACGAGCGCAACCCCUAUCAUUAGUUGCCAUCAGGUCAAGCUGGGGACUCUAAUGAAACUGCCUACGCAAGUAGUGAGGAAGGCGGGGAUGACGUCAAAUCAGCACGGCCCUUACGUCCAGGGCUACACACGUGCUACAAUGGCCGAUACAGAGGGCAGCUACCUGGUGACAGGAUGCAAAUCUCCAAAGUCGGUCUCAGUUCGGAUCGGAGUCUGCAACCCGACUCCGUGAAGUUGGAUUCGCUAGUAAUCGCGCAUCAGCCAUGUCACGGUGAAUACGUUCCCGGGCCUU
rnacentral:rRNA from 1 species